GAACAUCAACAGGUGAUGACGAGGACUAAGCCAUCUCUCCAUCCUUGGCUAUAUAUUUUGGUGGCAGUGUGUCUUUUUUUGGCAAUUGCAAUAUUUGUAGUAAUUCUCUACACCAAGUAUAAAAAAGGUGCCCAACAGGCUGAUAAUACAGUCUAUGCUCAAAAUGAGGUUCAAGACAAGACGCAAGAGGAAGAUAAUCGACCCAACACAAUGUACUGCACAGUAGGACAACACCGAAAACCUGCAGUCUUUGUCGAAACAGACCAUACAAUUUAUCCAGUGGUGUGCAAACAACCAAAACCACCCACCAUUUCAUCUGAUGAAGCAUAACAUGAAACUGUAUCUGUUUGUUACAUGGGGAAGUUUAACCAUCUCUACCAUUAAAGGUGGGAUAAGUAGAUUUUGAAAAACGCUGUUGGGCAUUGUUGAUAUUUGAAAUCAACCCAAACAACCACUUCCAAUCACUCUCCAAUCCUAACCACCCUGCUCCGAUGAUGCGCAACAAAAUGCUUCACGAAAAAUAAAGCACAGAUGAUGAACCAACGACAAGGAAGCAGAAAAAAUGAACGUACAGUCUAAAUAUAAACAAGAGUUCGUUGUUAGUUGCCAACAGCACAGAAGUUCAUGACACUCAAACCCAGUGUUACUCACAUGUGAAGCGUAAUCAAAGCAGCCUCCGCGUCUGUUUUCAGGCCUUCCCACUUAGCUCUCUCCAGCACUGGAAAGCUGUUCUAAUAUUAACGUGGGUCCUAAAGAUCUUGAUCUUGAUAUUCUUUUGAGAUCUUUUGUAUUGUGUUUCAUCUGUCUCUCUGCAGUUUUUUUUUUCCAAAUCUCCCUCUUACUCGUUCUGUCUCCUUGACCGCUAUAGACACACCCCCUAAUGCUGAUGGUUACACAUUUGUUGUUGGUGUCAGCCCGACUAACUUCCAAACAGUGUUUUUCAAAAUCUACUUCACCUUUAAAUGGUAUAAAUAGUAAGAAGAGCUAGUAUGCUAUUCUAAAAUUCAGCCAAGGCUGUUGUCUAAUUAAGAUAUAUUCUCUCAAGCAUUGGUUUAGUAGUAUUGGUUUCAAAUAUCCUCCAAACUGUCUUAACCAUGCUGAAAAAUCCAGCAUAAACCAGCAUGAAUUCCAUGUUGGUCCAAGCUGAUUUAUGCUGGUUAGAGCUGGUGUAGUGCUGGUCUAGCUUGUGGACCAUCAUAGUUAUGCUGUUCUGAGCUGAUCUGAUCCACCAGCACUCCUGCUUCCUAUGCUGCAUGAGGACCAGUAAACCAGCAUCCCAUGCUGGACCAAGCAUGCAAAAAUACCUUAUGCUGGUGACCAGCAAUGCUGGAUUUUUCAGCAGGCAAUUCUAUUCUGAAUUUGAUUUUUGUACACAUAACUUCCAAAUAAUCAUCAACUGUGAAAUGCUGGCAGUUCUCUUACUUUGUCUGUUGAUGGUGUCGCCUUGGAGUUUCAACGCAAACUAAAAAAUCUUGGUGUCAUCUUUGAUGCCACGCUGUCAUUUGAGUCUUUUGUUCAGAAUACGGUUAAGACAUCCUUUUUUCACCUCAGAAAUAUAGUACGUUUACAUCCUAUGUUUGCUGUGGCUAAAUCGUUAGUCAACAAACUUCAAUAUUUACAAAAUUCGGCUGCUGGAGUAUUUUCUGGGGUCAGGGCUGGUGAUCAUAUUACCCCUGUCUUGAAGUUUUUGCACUGGCUCCCUGUCAGGUAUCGUAUUGAUUUUAAAGUCCUCAUGUUAACAUAUAAGGCUUUGCAUGAUCUGGCUCCUCAGUACUUGACUGAUCUUUUAAUGCCUUACGCACCAUCCUAAGACACAGCUUUGCUCUAGGGGUGAUAGAGCAUUUUCUUCUUAUGCUCCUAAGCUUUGGAACUCUUUCCCAGCUGACAUCAGGGAAGCAAAUACAUUAGUGCAAAUAGAUUAUUUUUUCUA